rnacentral:misc_RNA from 1 species
AAACGAUUGAGCCAUGGAGGAGGAUGUCAUGGGGGAGGGGGGCAGUUGAGACUUGAGAGUGAUGACAGAAGAGAGAGAGCACAACCCGGCAGCAGCGACGACGGCGGUCGCUUCUGCCAGGGCCGUGUGCUCUCUGAUCUAUCUGUCAUUGCCGUCCAUCUCGCCACCCCGGCCGUCGUCUCUCCGCCAUGGCCAUCGAC